CUUCAAAUGUUGAAAUGUCCAUACAUCGCGUACCUACACGAUAAAUCGAGUCUACGAGAUUUCGACAAAUUACUGCCCCAUUUCAUUAUAGCAUUGUUUAUCUCCGCAUCUCGCAUCCGUAUGUGUGCACUCGGAUAAAAGUAGUGAGACUUUCACCCGUGCGUUUUGUCAGACGCUUAUAAAGUCAAUGACCAUACCCUGUCUGGUCCCAGCCUCCAGGCCUGGUUGGGUUUUUUGUCGUCUCUCAGUGCCGCCACUCGUCAAAUGUUCUACUACACUAUGCGCUCCAAAGACAAGGCCGGGACCGGUUUACCUUCUUGGGGAUUUGAGUCGCAAGCUUUCGUAGACGUAACUGCUUUGUCACUACGGUUCUUCGUUGUGGAACGUAUGAGCAAAAAACCUGAUCUAUGACACAGCUUUUUUAUGCGUACGUUUGAGCUUUACAAAGUAAUUUAGGCACUUCUUUGCAAUAAAUAAAGUGCU